rnacentral:rRNA from 1 species
GACGAACGCUGGCGGCGUGCUUAACACAUGCAAGUCGAACGGAAAGGCCCUGCUUUUGUGGGGUGCUCGAGUGGCGAACGGGUGAGUAACACGUGAGUAACCUGCCCUUGACUUUGGGAUAACUUCAGGAAACUGGGGCUAAUACCGGAUAGGAGUUCCUGCUGCAUGGUGGGGGUUGGAAAGUUCGGGCGGUUGGGGAUGGACUGGCGGCUUAUCAGCUUGUUGGGGGGGUAGUGGCUUACAAAGGCUUUGACGGGUAGCCGGCCUGAGAGGGUGACCGGCCACAUUGGGACUGAGAUACGGCCCAGACUCCUACGGGAGGCAGCGGUGGGGAAUAUUGCACAAUGGGCGGAAGCCUGAUGCAGCAACGCCGCGUGCGGGAUGACGGCCUGCGGGUUGUAAACCGCUUUCGCCUGUGACGAAGCGUGAGUGACGGUAAUGGGUAAAGAAGCACCGGCUAACUACGUG